AGCGAACGCUGGCGGCAGGCCUAACACAUGCAAGUCGAACGAACCUUUCGGGGUUAGUGGCGGACGGGUGAGUAACACGUGGGAACGUGCCUUUAGGUUCGGAAUAACUCAGGGAAACUUGUGCUAAUACCGAAUGUGCCCUUCGGGGGAAAGAUUAAUCGCCUUUAGAGCGGCCCGCGUCUGAUUAGCUAGUUGGGUGAGGUAAUGGCUCACCAAGGCGACGAUCAGUAGCUGGUCUGAGAGGAUGAUCAGCCACAUUGGGACUGAGACACGGCCCAAACUCCUACGGGAGGCAGCAGUGGGGAAUCUUGCGCAAUGGGCGAAAGCCUGACGCAGCCAUGCCGCGUGAAUGAUGAAGGUCUUAGGAUUGUAAAAUUCUUUCACCGGGGACGAUAAUGACGGUACCCGGAGAAGAAGCCCCGGCUAACUUCGUG
rnacentral:rRNA from 1 species